rnacentral:rRNA from 1 species
UACGUAGGGGCAAGCGUUGUCCGGAUUCAUUGGGCGUAAAGAGCGUGUAGGCGGCCAGGUAGGUCGGUUGUGAAACUGGAGGCUCAACCUUCAGACGUCGACCGAAACCAUCUGGCUAGAGUCCGGGAGAGGAGAGUGGAAGUUCCGUGGUUGUAGCGGUGAAAUGACGCAGAUAUCAGGAGGAACACCGGUGGCGAAGGCGGUCUCUGGCAGUAACUGACGCUGAGGAGCGAAAGCGUGGGGAGCGAACAGG